rnacentral:rRNA from 1 species
UAUGUGAUCGUCUCUCGCAUAUCAAUAAGCGGAGGAAAAGAAACUAACGAGGAUUCCCCUAGUAACGGCGAGUGAAGCGGGAAGAGCUCAAAUUUGAAAUCUUAAAGGGUUUCCCUUUACGAAUUGUAGUUUAAAGAAGUGUUUUCUGUUGAGGUUUUGGUAAAAGUUCUUUGGAAUAGGACAUCAUAGAGGGUGAGAAUCCCGUAUUUGACCUUUACUUUCAACUUUGUGAUACACUUUCAAAGAGUCGGAUUGUUUGGGAAUGCAGUCCAAAAUGGGUGGUAAAUUUCAUCUAAAGCUAAAUACUGGCGAGAGACCGAUAGCGAACAAGUACCGUGAGGGAAAGAUGAAAAGAACUUUGAAAAGAGAGUUAAACAGUACGUGAAAUUGUCAAAAGGGAAGCGUUUGACACCAGUGUUGUUUUUCUGAAAAUCAAUUAAAGAACUGUUUAUGCUAAGUUGUUUAGACUUUAUCAGCUAACUGUUUAGUUUUGAGCUUUUCUUUAAUGCACUUUUCAGUUAACAAGUCAACAUCAAUUUCUUUUGCUGUAAAAAAGCUUGAGGAAGGUGGCUUGAGAUUCGUCUUAAGUGUUUAUAGCCUCUUGCCUAUGCAGUCGGAGAGAUUGAGGUCUGCAGCGUAGAUCCUUCGGGGCUAAAUGCAUUUGUGCUAAGUUAUAGCAUUUUAUAGACAACUUGUUGACUAUGAUUUGUCUUGUAGCUUACUCGCUUAUGUUAUUUUACCUACGCUUAGGAUGUUGACACACGCGCGUGCUCG